UCCUGCUCCCUUCGAAGGGAUAAAGGAGCAGGGUGUGAGGACCCGAAGGGCGAAGGGACACCUCUGGCCACCCUGCCCCAGCCCGCUAGGACCCCCAGCAUGGCCCGGCCCCCCACCCUGCUGGGUCUGACUCUGCUGCUGCCUCUGUUCUAACAGACCUGGGAGCCCACCAGAGCUGCCAACCUGGGAUGAUUGCCAGCAGCUAAUGAAUGUCUUGCUCACGACAGAGGGGAGAGAGAGAAUCCAAAUCCAAGCAGGGAAGCUGGUUCCUGGGAGGACAGACUGCCGACGUCCAACCUGAACCUCAUCAAUGUGGCUUUCCCCUCUCGCGGCCUUUGUGGGACCACAACGUGGCUGAAGACCCUGCAGAGGACACACCCCGGGUGUGGCCAGCACUGAAGCACUCUACCAGUCCCCAGCAGCGCUGCAAGCCCAGGGCUACCAAUCCGGGGCCUGGGUUCUGGUCCGACGACACAGCAGGGCCACUCUCGAGCCCCAGAGAAAAGGGCCCUAUCAAGUGCUUCUUGCCACCCCGACGACUGUGAAGGUGGACAGGAUAGCAAUCUGGGUCCAUCACAGCCACGUCCGAGCGGUGACCUCCAGAGAACUACUGGCUGACCGGCUGGAACCUGCCUGGAAAAUUCCCGACACCCCACAAAUCCCCUGAAGAUCCAGGUUUCCCAAGAUUGACCGACGACAAGGGGAACUGUGCUGCCACCUCGACCCUCCUCCUGCCAUAGCCAGAACCGUAGGACAAGCUCCAUCGAGACACGAUGGUUUUGUGCAUGCUCUACCUACUCCUGCUCACUGUCCAGCGGGGAACCUCUUCCCCGUACGGUCCCAGAGAAGGGGAAUGGCUCCUGACACUCACCAUGUCAGGAAAGGAACUGGCCAGGUACAAUGGGACCGACCAACCAAUCUUUGAAUUGGACCUAUGUUCCCUCCUGGGGGAUGUUGACACAGGACUAGGUGGGGGAGCAGCCCUCCGGACAUUCAUGGACCCUGCUCAAUAUCACUGGGUGCCGGGGACAUCAUUUGUGGGGUGCGGCUGGCCAGGAUAUUAUGAGGCCAAUCUCCUGGCCACUGACUUCUAUAUCUGUCCGGCCAAAGCAAGCCCCGAGUGUGGAGGGCCUGAGGACUAUUAUUGUGCAAAAUGGGGCUGUGAGACUAUCGCCCCUUGGGCAAACAGAGAUGUGGACUUAGAAAUUCAGAGGAAAGGAGAAAGGCCCAGGAGGGUAACUAGGACACGAACAACAGGAAACAACAAUCCCAUAGUUAUCAAAGUAAAAACUUGGCAGCAGCAUUUCAUUGCCGGUGAUGGUUGGAGCACGGGAAAAACUUGGGGGAUCAGGCUGUACUUGGCAGGGAGAGACCCCGGGACCCGAUUCACCAUCCAAUGGAGACCCAAGAGGGCUUCCCCCGAGGGGAUAGGACCUUCCCUGGAUGUCAUGGGAAUAGGGGUGUAGGAGAACCUGAUCUGGAAAAAGGGGACCCCAGGGGCAACACCACAUUGACUGAGCCCUAGGCUCAGCCCUUGCUCAAUGCAAUAUAAUGGACGUUCUUGUAUUGGAACUUCUCAUUCCAACCUCACAGAGGAUUGCUGGCUCUGCCUCGAUCCCUGACCUCCCUUUUACUUCAGACUGACAUGAAUAGAGAGUCUCAUUAACAUGUCUUCCUCAGUGGGCUGCAGCUGGACUAAAGGAGUUAUAACCCUAUGGAGAUUCAAGGCACCAGGUUAUGUUUAAAAAGCAAUGGGUUUGCAGGGAUGCAAGGAUGGUUUAACAUUCGGAAAUCAAUCAACAUAAUCCAUCAUAUCAACAAAAGUAAAGAUAAAAACCAUAUGAUCAUAUCAAUAGAUGCAGAGAAAGCGUUUGACAAGAUACAACACCCAUUCAUGAUAAAAACUCUCACCAAAAUGGGUUUUGGAGGAACUUUUCUCAAGAUAGUCAAAGCCAUCUACCACGAACUUACGGCAAGCAUUAUCAUCAAUGGAGAAAAACUAAGGGCCUUUCCUCUAAGAUCGGGGACAAGACAAGGAUGUCCACUCUCACCACUUCUCUUUAAUAUAGUACUGGAAGUACUAGCAAUAGCAAUCAGGCAAGAAAAAGAUAUUAAGGGGAUUCAGAUCGGAAAGGAAGAAAUCAAGCUCUCACUAUUCACAGACGAUAUGAUACUAUACCUAGAGAAGCCUAAAAACUCUAGUAAGAAACUCUUAGAAACAAUUGACCUGUACAGUAAAGUCGCAGGCUAUAAAAUCAAUACCCAAAAAUCCAUGGCCUUCCUAUAUGCAAACAAUGAGACAGAGGAAAGGGACAUGAAAAAAGCAAUCCCGUUCACAAUCGUACCCCAGAAAAUCAAAUACCUUGGAAUCAGCUUAACUAAAGAAGUAAAGGACCUCUA